rnacentral:lncRNA from 1 species
CAGGGAUUAAACCCAGGUCUCAAACCCACGUCUCCUUCUUUGCAGGAAGAUUCUUUACCAUCUGAACCACCAUAAGAUUAGCAACACAAAAUGAGUGUUUUUUGUUUUUUUUUUUAAGUCCAAUGUUGAAUUGAUUUUAUCACUGCUUAUGGAUUUCCCAUAGAUUUUUUUUUCCCCCCCACAGCUUGGACAAACCGCUUUACCUGACCCACUGUUGGUCCACCACUGGAAAGGAUGCAUAGUACAUAUCUAAGACUGAUGUGCUGAACCAAAGGAACAUAAUUAAAUCGCAUAUAUUAGUCACAGAUCUGAGAUAUCAGAGUACGUUUUUCUCCAAAGAGACUUCUAGUUCUUUCCCAAGAUUCCCAAGACUUUUUCUGCUAUUCAAAAUGCCAAACAACCAGGUGUCAAGUUGGUCAGCUGGAGCAAU